rnacentral:tRNA from 1 species
AUCUGUGUAUUCUAAGUUGUAAAAGAGGCUGAAUUCUUACUUCAGUAAUGUGAAUUUUCACCAUAGGUU